rnacentral:misc_RNA from 1 species
GUGAAUCAUCAAAUUUUUGAACGCAAAUUGCACUCCCUGGUAUUCCGGGGAGUAUGCGUGUUUGAGGGUCGAUAGAAUACAAAGUCGAUGCGUCGCUCUUUUUUUUAAGGGUGAUCGCGUCGGAAUAGAGCCGUCCUUCUAAUGUUAAUUCAUUUCAAAGUGGUUUGACAUUCAUCCAUCCCGUACGUUUUAAGC